CUGCUUCCGGGUGAAUUUGACACGCCUGGCCCAAAUAUACAUUGAAAGGCAAAAUACGUCAGGAUAUAUCAACAGCUGGGGCCUCACGAAUGAAUACGAGUACUGGAAGAAUCGGUCUUCUCAAAGAGAACAUCCAGUGGUUGCUGCGGUAGACUGGAUGAUAUACGGUGACUGCUACCCACCUAAGUUUAGAGGAUUGCCACAAACUAAUUGCAUUGGAUAUUUUUCGUGGUCCGUUCGUGAAGGCAUAUAUUGUCCUUUCAGCCUUAAGGAAAACACUACGCUUCCGGUCAGGUAUCCAUGGCUAACUCCGGAUAUAUUUGAGCUUAAUCUAAAUCAUGAAUACCUGUCGACAGUCAUCGACAUCUGGCGCUAUCAAAGUGGCAGUAUUGCAAAGAACGUGUUCUCCACGCAAUGCCACUUCGUUGCGAAGGUAACCUUCGACGGCUACUUCGUAUACAAUCUCUCAAAUCCAGAAAAAGCCAAAUCAAACUGGGUUCCUGUCAAUAUUACUGCGCUCGCCAACAGUACCGACGGACUUCUUGUAGAAAGUGGCAAGUUGACGUACCAUAUGUGGGGCAAGUUCUUUCAGAAUAUCUGGUGCUACUGUUAGGA